UCGGACAUCAGGAGGUUAGUGCAAUGGCAUAAGCCAGCUUGACUGCGAGCGUGACGGCGCGAGCAGGUGCGAAAGCAGGUCAUAGUGAUCCGGUGGUUCUGAAUGGAAGGGCCAUCGCUCAACGGAUAAAAGGUACUCCGGGGAUAACAGGCUGAUACCGCCCAAGAGUUCAUAUCGACGGCGGUGUUUGGCACCUCGAUGUCGGCUCAUCACAUCCUGGGGCUGAAGUAGGUCCCAAGGGUAUGGCUGUUCGCCAUUUAAAGUGGUACGCGAGCUGGGUUUAGAACGUCGUGAGACAGUUCGGUCCCUAUCUGCCGUGGGCGCUGGAGAACUGAGGGGGGCUGCUCCUAGUACGAGAGGACCGGAGUGGACGCAUCACUGGUGUUCGGGUUGUCAUGCCAAUGGCACU
rnacentral:rRNA from 1 species